AGGGACUUCAAACGCUACAAUAAACCGGAUUCCAACUUCACCACCCUGCGUUCUCGUGUCUGGAGGAGCCCAGAAAAAGCCAGCUAGGUGGCGCAUAGCAUCUUCCUCCAUUGCCACAUAAGCCAUUUUCCUUUUUCUUCAAAACUAUUUCAUGGUUUAACCUUCGAUCCAUACAACACAGAGUUAAAAGGACUUUCACGGACUUCCACGGACUUUCCCAGUACUCUCACGGACUUCCACGGACCUUCAAAGACGCCCAUCGCGUUUCACCUGGACGUGUUCCAGCCUCCAUCAUCCUGUGUGUGACGCAGUGACGAUGAAGAACCCACUCACUCUAACCCCUAUGCUAAUGCUAUAUAAUAAUGCUCAUUACUGCAUUAACUAAUGCUAAGGUUAAGAAGGUGUGAUUAUAAUUCAUCUUUGAUCACCAUGGUUUCAUGCAAGACUUUGAGUCCCUCGAUUGCCUUGUGGAUGUAAUCCCAAAUAAGCUUAUAGUCUCAGGGGACUUGAGCCAUUUAGCUUUUAGUUAAAUAACGAGGGAUAAUCUCCAUCACUGCCUCAAAUAGCUUCUUGACUGCCGCAAACUCAGGGCCAAUGAUUUGUAUGACGUUCAAUAUAUUGUUUGUUACACGAAUUUGCUCGUCUAUGAGGCUGUUAGUAACCAUCUCAAAAUCUUCUUCCUGGAAGUGCAGAGAACAACAGGUCGAACUAUUUCUGCACCAUGUAAGAGAUAAUGUUCGGCGAGCCGGACAUUAAUGUGAGAUAAACUGACGUAAAAGGUACUGACAGCACCGUGCGAGACUUGACCCACCUUCAAGGAAUUGAUGUACAAUUCGACAUCUUCAAUCACCAUCUUGAAGUCAUCCUGAGAGUUGAGAAGUCAUAAGUUAGUCUAUUAGCAGUUUUAAAGACAUUUGUUCCCUUGACCAGUCGUCCAACUGGUCUGACCCCUUAAGUAGCAUAACAGCGGCUCAAAGAGGUGGAAAUGAUGCAUGGGAAAUAAUUAAAUUAAAUCUAAUUAAAUUAAAGGUGC
ensembl:lncRNA